AAUACUUCUUACUAAGUAAUGCCCAAAUGACAGACAGAAAGAGAGGGAGAGACUUUUUCUGUUACAAAUACCACCAGAAUGAUGCUGGUAUCCCAUCCUGAAUGCCUCGACAGAGGUUUACUACAGUGUUUUUGGAUGAGGAACACAGGCAGAAUUUCGCUCCCUUUUUUCUCUACUACUCUACUUGUCCUGGAGGAACAUAACACUCUGACAGGAGAAAUUCCCCACCUUUGUGGACCAGUGUUACACUGUUAACUCAGUACUUUUUCCCUAGACCAGCAGUCACAAUCUUUUCACUGCUCAUACUUUAAGGCAUCUGCUAAGAAAAUGCAGGGGGCUGACUGUCCUGUGGAUUGUAGCCAGCAAACAAGUGCUGACUAUACAAGAGGGGAUAUACGUUCAAAACAAACUCUGUAUGUUUUAUGAUGAUAUUUUAUAACUUCAUUGAAAUCAUCUUAUGAGGGACAAAACUGGGCAGCUGAAGAUGUCAAACUGGGAGGAGUGGUUGGUACAGCAGUGGGUGGUGCUGGCCUCCACAGGGACCUCACAGGCUGGAGAAAUGGCCUGACAGGAGCUCCAUGGAUUGCAACAAGGAGAGGUGCAAAAUUCUGCACCUGGGAAGGAACAACCCCUUGCACCAAUGCAUGCUUGGGGCCACCCAGCAUAUCCUGCAGCUUUUCAGAAAAGGAUUGGGAGGUCCUGGUGGAAACCAAGCUGAGCACAGGCCACCAGUGUGGUUCCUUGCUGCAAAGAAGGCCAAGGUAACCCCGGCCUCAUGAGGCAGCGCUGCCAGCAAGCUGAGGGAGAUGAUUCUUCCCUUCAGCACUGCUGUGGCCACACCCAGAGUAAAACGUCCAGGUCAGGAUUCUCAGUACAGGUGGAUAAAGAAUUACUGGAGAGAGUCUAUGGCCAUACUGGAGAGAGUCUUCAAAUGGUCAGGAAGAUGAUUAAGGGAUUGGAGCAUCUCUGUUCUGAGGAAAGGUGGGAGAGCUGGGACUGUUUAGCCUGGAGAAAACACACCUUGAGUGGAAUCUCAUCAAAUGUGGAUAAAUACCCAAAGGGAGAGUGCAAAGAGGACAGAGCCAGGCUCUCUUCAGAGGUGCCCAGUGAUGGGACAAGAAGCAAUGGGCACAAUACCAGUGGCACAACACACGAAACUUCAGCAGUGCCGUCUGAACAUAGAAAACUCUUUAACUGUUGAGGGUGACUGGGCACUGAAAAGGGAUUUCCUAGGCAGAUUGUGGAGUUUCCACUCCUGGAGAUAUUAAAAAACUGUCUGGACAUGGUCCUUGAUGACUGCUGCAGGUGUUUGAGCAGAGAGUUUGAAGCAGAUGAUGCCCAGAUAUUGCUUCAAACCUCAACCUGUGAGUUCUGUAAUGUAUGGCUACCACAUCUCACUGGACUGCUGUGAUCACUGGGAUGGUUAUGAUAUGAUAGUUUAAAUUUCUGUUAUUAACAAAUGUUGAUCUUUGCAUAUAAGUAAAUGCUCUUAUUGUUUUGGAGAGAUGAUUUACUAAAUAAUUAGUACAACUCUAGGUCCUAAUAAAAUUGAGAACAAAUAUGCAUGGAAUAUGGUACAAGUUCACUUAUGUUUUUCCCUGCUAUUCCAUCAAGACUUCAAACAGACCCCAGAUUUGGUCCAUGUGAAUGCCUGUCUUCUGGAGUCAGUGAUGCAACAUCUAGUUAUUAUUGAUAAUUACAGCAAUCAUGGAGGACGUGAGUGUGUUAUCUAUCACAAAGAAAGGGCCCCCAGAUGCCCUGUGCAUUCUCAGUGAUAGUUCCAUGUCAGCAUUUCAAUGAUGAGCGAGGAUGAAUUUGGUUUACAGCAUCUGUCAGUACAUAUCUCGUAUUCUGGUGAGAAAUUAAUAAAAACGACCAUUCUUUGUGGAAUGGAAGGUUGGGAGAUUAUGCAAUGGUCUCUCCCACCAAGUGUGGAAACUUUUUAGUGUUGCAGAGGGUACUAAUGUGGGUUAUUUCAAGUUUAGGUGCACUCUUCCUCCCAUGCAGGUGUCUCAUGGUCUCUGCUGAGGAAGGCAGAGCUCAAUCCAAGGGACCUCUCAUCUUGUAAUCAGAGUCUUAAAUAGAAACAUGUGUGGUAGUGGGCCUGGCUAGGCCAGGGUUAUAGCCAACAAGGUAAAGAAACAAGAAUGAGAAAUGUGCUGGAAAUAAAACCUUUUUUCCUCCUAUAACUCUGAAAGUUAACAGCUACUCUAUUUGCAGUACUUCCCUGCAGACCAUAUGCAUAACUUGUUUUAUCAAUUGGCUCAUAAAGAAGCAAAAGAUGGUUUAGAUUUGCAGGAAUUACUGGAUAUUCUCUGCAGUAAUUCCUGAUUUUAAGCAUGUUAGUUUCUGCUCUGCAGAUCUUCAUGUUUUUAUGGCAGAUGAUGUGCAGGCAGAUGUGCCAGUUAUGGAGGCUCAGUGUGAAUUUAUCUGCCAGUGAAGGGCAGUGUGCAUCCCCUACUCACACUCACUUGCACCCAUGGGCAAGAACUGUAAUAAAAGAGUGAACUGACAAGAUCAGAGGAGAAAAUAAUAAUGAAAGACUUUUCAAUGGAUAAUGAGAUUGUAUCAACUGAUACCAGUUCACGACAUCAUCCUUAGGGUGCAGGAUUUGGUGCUGAUAAUUGCAGCAUGAAAGCAACUUUUAAUACACAUUAAAUUUUUAGUUUUACUUCUCUGCAUAACAAUCUUAUUUUGGUUUAACGAUAAAAUGAGUAUCCAAAGGAGCUGUUCACUUACAGAUUCACUGAACCCACAAGUCUAUUUAAGAACGUGCAUCUUUACAGGCAAAAGAGGAAAAGAGCCAAAUGUUUAGCAGAUUUAUGAGGUAAUUCUUUAUCAAGUUACAAACAAAACUGCAGGAAUGUGUAGGGAUCUAUGCAGAGGCUGUGGCAGUAUCCUGAUUGCACUUCAUCAUCUACCACUGUCUCAUCUUUGCUUCCCACUGCAGUAAUCCCCAGGACGCCCAUCCUUGUCUCAAUACCUCUUCAAAAUGCUAAUAGAGCCUGGCUUUCAGGAAUUCUGCUACAUUAUGGACACUGUUGAAAACAUAGGUUUGUGCUGAGACCUGUACCACUCACUGAGCUGUCCUGACCCAGCCCUCUGAACAGACUCUUUUAAAUGGAAAUACUGUGAUGCCUGCUACUUUUUGAGGGGAUGGUCUUUCAGUCAUGGACACUGAAUUAAUUUGACAACUAUUUUCUUCCUGCCAAAAGAAUACAAAAAGCCCUGGGAGCCUGUAACUGCCAGAAGAACCUGCAGAAAUCUGGCUAACACUUCAUGAGAAGAUUGUUGCCUAGCUGGAGAAGGCUGAGUCUGACAAGUGCCCUCUGCAUGUCCUGGCUCAGUUAGAACCACCCUGGAGGCAUCUCAGUGCUCCACGUGGCUGAAGGUCAUCACCAGAGCAGCUUGGCUAGUCCUUGGGCUUGGCACCUUGUGAGAACUUUGAGUGUGGUGCUCUGCUUUGAAUGGACGUGUGAGUCUGUCCAGCCUUCCUUGGGAAGUCCUUGUCAGGGUUUACCCUGUGCCAGCCUCAGAGAAGAAAAGCUGCCCUUGAACAGGGCUUAGACCACUGUAGGAAAAUAUAACUUAGGUUACUCAGGGAUUUAUCAUGAGGGUGGAUGGGCAUGUGAGGACUAUAGGAGAAAUGGAAAUGAAAAAUGCAAGUGAAACAGUGAGAUCUUUAAGCUGUACAACACGUCAUUUUCACAGUUUGUCACUGUCAGGUGACCACGGACUUGUAAGAAGCUUAGAAUUGAAAACCUUAAUGUAUUCUUUAUGGGAACAAAAGCUUCUGAAUUAUGCAGCAGCCUAAAAUGUUCCUACUACAGGUGACUCAGAUUCUAGAUGCAUUAUUUAAAGAGUCCUAUGAUAUCAGUCUGCUGCUAUGGAACUGCAAUCUAUACCUCCCUUUUUCACUGGUGUGUCUUUACAAAUCCUAAAUCUAAUUGCAUAAUUGAAAACAGUCCUACAGAGAGACUUCUGCAGUUUGCAUUCAUCUUCAUCCACCUUUGCAGCUGCCUCCAGCUGUGUUUUCAGUAUACAGUAGAACUGAUGCUGACUCCUUUCUGAUUUUGGAGAAUGAAGGCUGGAACCAUAUAUGCAUUUCUAGUCUAUGAAAAGGCAUUUCAAGAACACCUAAACUCUGCUGAGAGAUUGUCUGGAAGGUGUGGAGCAGCAUCAGAACAGCAGUUUAAGAUGCUCAGGCGGUCUGUGAAAAGGAAGGAAGAGGUAGAAACAGAACCUUGCAAGUUUGAAAUAUAUGCCAAGACAGAGCCCUGUGCCUUGUCUCAGGUCAGGGUUUUAAUGAUUAUGUGAUACAGGUGCAGCAAAAAAAGCUUAAAUUAUGGCUUAUCUUCAGGAUUCAAUCAGUAAGCCACUGAACAGAAGCUAUACCUCUCAUAUCACUUGAACAACUUCUGCACCUCUGGAAGGUCACAGAAAUGCCUGGAAGGAACCUCAAAGAUCAUCUAGUACAGAUGUGUAUUUCUUUUUGUUGUUGUUGUAGUGUUGCUUAAAUA